GCCACCGAAGCUCAGAGGUUAGAGCACUGGUCUCGUAAACCAGGGGUCGCGAGUUCGAAUCUCGUUGGUAGCU
rnacentral:tRNA from 1 species